rnacentral:sRNA from 1 species
AGACUCCUGUUUCCUCAAGGCCAAUGAUUUGACUCACAGUCUUUCCUCAUACCUAAAAGAAAUUUGUCCUAAGUGGGUAAAACUUAGGAAGAACCACAGUGAGAAGAAAUCGGUCCUGAUGCUGAUCAUCUGCAGCUCGGCCAUCCGAGCCCUGGAGCUCAUUAGGUCGAUGACAGCAUUCAGAGGAGAUGGCAAAGUUAUAAAAUUAUUUGCAAAGCACAUAAAGGUAAGCAAGGGCCUGUGUGAUCCCUAAAGGCCUCUCCCAGACCUCAGCUUUUUCCUUUCAACCUCUUCUCCUAAUCUCCUUAGCACAUAUUUUAUUGAGUUCCUUCCUUAUGUAACAUUUAACAACUUUUCUGGUUUUUUAAAUUCUAUGCUUCUGCAUACCUACCUCCCCAGUAUGGCAGUCGCUACUGCCAUGCUCCGUCCCUGUAUAGAACCUGAGGCUUGACCCUUUGAUUCCUUGAAGAUUACCAGUUUUCUAGGGAUAUGCUCAUCUCUGCCCUGGAAGUCGACCCUACACAAGGAUAGCUCCAUUUGUAUUUCACUUUCUUAACUUUGAGAUAAAAUGUUCUAAAUUGGUGUAAGAUUGCACUUUCUUAAUGAGUUCCUUUUCUUUCUUCUCUUUCAUCUUGGAACAGGUCCAGGCACAG